AUACAUGCAAGUCGAACGAACUCUGGUAUUGAUUGGUGCUUGCAUCAUGAUUUACAUUUGAGUGAGUGGCGAACUGGUGAGUAACACGUGGGAAACCUGCCCAGAAGCGGGGGAUAACACCUGGAAACAGAUGCUAAUACCGCAUAACAACUUGGACCGCAUGGUCCGAGCUUGAAAGAUGGCUUCGGCUAUCACUUUUGGAUGGUCCCGCGGCGUAUUAGCUAGAUGGUGGGGUAACGGCUCACCAUGGCAAUGAUACGUAGCCGACCUGAGAGGGUAAUCGGCCACAUUGGGACUGAGACACGGCCCAAACUCCUACGGGAGGCAGCAGUAGGGAAUCUUCCACAAUGGACGAAAGUCUGAUGGAGCAACGCCGCGUGAGUGAAGAAGGGUUUCGGCUCGUAAAACUCUGUUGUUAAAGAAGAACAUAUCUGAGAGUAACUGUUCAGGUAUUGACGGUAUUUAACCAGAAAGCCACGGCUAACUACGUGCCAGCAGCCGCGGUAAUACGUAGGUGGCAAGCGUUGUCCGGAUUUAUUGGGCGUAAAGCGAGCGCAGGCGGUUUUUUAAGUCUGAUGUGAAAGCCUUCGGCUCAACCGAAGAAGUGCAUCGGAAACUGGGAAACUUGAGUGCAGAAGAGGACAGUGGAACUCCAUGUGUAGCGGUGAAAUGCGUAGAUAUAUGGAAGAACACCAGUGGCGAAGGCGGCUGUCUGGUCUGUAACUGACGCUGAGGCUCGAAAGUAUGGGUAGCAAACAGGAUUAGAUACCCUGGUAGUCCAUACCGUAAACGAUGAAUGCUAAGUGUUGGAGGGUUUCCGCCCUUCAGUGCUGCAGCUAACGCAUUAAGCAUUCCGCCUGGGGAGUACGGCCGCAAGGCUGAAACUCAAAGGGAAUUGACGGGGGCCCGCACAAGCGGUGGAGCAUGUGGUUUAAUUCGAAGCUACGCGAAGAACCUUACCAGGUCUUGACAUACUAUGCAAAUCUAAGAGAUUAGACGUUCCCUUCGGGGACAUGGAUACAGGUGGUGCAUGGUUGUCGUCAGCUCGUGUCGUGAGAUGUUGGGUUAAGUCCCGCAACGAGCGCAACCCUUAUUAUCAGUUGCCAGCAUUAAGUUGGGCACUCUGGUGAGACUGCCGGUGACAAACCGGAGGAAGGUGGGGAUGACGUCAAAUCAUCAUGCCCCUUAUGACCUGGGCUACACACGUGCUACAAUGGAUGGUACAACGAGUUGCGAACUCGCGAGAGUAAGCUAAUCUCUUAAAGCCAUUCUCAGUUCGGAUUGUAGGCUGCAACUCGCCUACAUGAAGUCGGAAUCGCUAGUAAUCGCGGAUCAGCAUGCCGCGGUGAAUACGUUCCCGGGCCUUGUACACACCGCCCGUCACACCAUGAGAGUUUGUAACACCCAAAGUCGGUGGGGUAACCUUUUAGGAACCAG
rnacentral:rRNA from 2 species